UGACCUAUGGUGUAACGGUAGCACACCGGAUUUUGAUUCCGUUUGUUAAGGUUCGAAUCCUUAUAGGUCAA
rnacentral:tRNA from 1 species